CCGUCUUCCUCCAGCUCUCAAGACCAACAAACCCUAAAGUGCCCUCGCUGCAACUCCUCAAACACAAAGUUCUGUUACUACAACAACUACAACCUCUCUCAACCUCGUCAUUUCUGCAAAUCUUGCCGCCGUUACUGGACACGUGGCGGUGCCUUAAGAAACGUCCCCAUCGGUGGCGGUUGUCGGAAAACCAAAAAAUCAUUCAAACCUAACACAUCAACUCCUUCGUGUCAGAGAUUUUACUCUUCAGUCAUGGAAGAUUCCUCCAAGUUUUUCCCUCCUCCAACAACAAUGGGUUUUCAACUUAUGAAUAAUCAAGAAGUUCUUGGCCUUAGGCCCAUGGAGCAGGCCGAAACAACACCCGUUGAUGUCAGGUCGGGAUUAUCGUUAAUGGGUUUCGGAGACUACAGCAACCAUUCUCCGGCGACUUUCUCAACCGCAGGAACCCUAGCUACUUCUAUAGAAACUUUGAGUUGUUUAAACCAAGAUUUACACUGGAGGCUUCAGCAACAGAGGAUGGCUAUGCUUUUUGGUAACUCUAAUGAAGAGACCGUCGUUGUCGAGAGGCCACAGCCGAUUCUUAACCGGAAUCUAGAGAUCGUGAACUCGCCGCCGACGAAGAAAGGAGAGAAUCAGACAGAAUGGUAUUUUGGUAAUAAUAAUGAUAACGAAGGGGUCGUUAGUAACAACGAUAAUAAUAAUAACACAGGAGGAAGUGAUCAAUGGAACAAUGGAAUUCAAGCUUGGACUGAUCUUAAUCAUUAUAAUGCUUUGCCAUGAUUCUUGGUAAGUUAAAGAAACUAUACCUAUGUGAUCAAUAGUAAAAUUAUGUAUCUUAGCAUGUUUACCAAAAAGAUAUUUAAAUGAUGUGUGUUUGUGAUGUAAUGCCAAAAUGUAUUUUUGUUUGGAGUUAGCUUUUGUUGUUGUUGGUUAUGGGGUGGGGUGAAAAAUUCAAGAAUGGAGACAGAUACUACAAUAGAUUCUCUAGGUUUGUGAUUUGUCUGUAUUUUGAAGUAUUUCAAUGUUGGGAAAACUAGAAACAUGAUUUACUGUGCUUAAAGCUUAAUUAUUGGGAGACUCUUCUUGGUUUGGUGGUGAAAGAAAAAAAUCAAUCAUCCAAACACAAUCGUCUCUUAUUCUAUUUUUGGAGAUUAUUUUUCAAUACAUUUAUAUAUCUUAUAUGUAGAUUUGUACUAUGUAUUAAGUAACUGUACCCCCAAAAUGAUGUACCUGGAAUUUAAUACGUAAGUAAAAAUCCAGUUCACUAUGAUCGAUCACUUAAAAAAAUGUUGAGAAUUGUAAGGAAUUAAUUGUCAAAUUUAUAUUAGAAAAGAUAAACUUUACAAAGAUGACAGAAAGUUAAACUAAUGUUUUUUCCUCCUAAACCAUACUUGAUCCUCUCUUAAUUUACCACAAACUAUAAACUUUUUCAAGAUGCUUAAAUGUUUAAACUAGUUGAAAAUUUCGUCAGAGCAACUAUUUUUAUUGAUGUCUUGGACUAAUAUAAUUUUUUUUUACAGAUAGUACGUAUACACAUUGAAUUAUGUCUACACGUUAGAUAUUUCCUGGCGACAAUAACCUAAAAGAUAUACUUGUUAAAUAUAUUUUGAUCCAAUAGUUUUGGUUUCCUUAAUAAAUAUGGUAAGUAUAGCUGCGUGUAUGUACGUAUGUAAAGGAAUAAAACAGUAUAUAUUAUAUAUAGGCCUACGUAUAAAGAUUGGUGCAGUGCACACUCCACACAUAUAAAUAACGUUACCUCAACAAUAGAAACAAGACACAUAACAAAUUCUAUCCGAUUCGUUCCGAUCAAGAACACAGUUAUAUAUGUUCUUCUGUCUUUUCUGCAACUUCUUGUCUCUCAUCUUCUUCUUUUCUUGUCCCUAUUAUCUCGCUCAUCCCUAUCUAUCUAUACGGAUACCAAAACAUUAACUACAAAUGACUCAAAAACUUUUAUCUACAAAGAUUUUUUGUCUAUUAAGGAAAUACAAAUAAAUUAUGAUGAAUUAAUCAAAUGUUAUGAAAGAACAUAACAAUUUUGACAAAGAUGGCGGUUUACAAUUGCCAACAACGUUAGUAUAUAACAUGUUUUCCAACUCUUUGAGAACAUUACUUUGUUGGUCAUCUGGAGAUAAAAGUACAUGUUAAGAUAUUAUAUUAUAUCUGUAUAUUUUUACUAUUAACUUUUGUGUGUGUGAAUAGUUAAUAGGAUCAAAUUUCAUUAAAUAUCUUUUGAAAUGAAUAACAAAACGCUAAAUAAGUGAUUUAGAUACACUAUUUUAAUAAUUUUAAUCAUAUAUAGAUAUAAAUACAAUUGCAAACGCCAACACCAUUCAAAUAAUUAAGUACUUCCAAACUCUUUGAGGUAAAAAACACUUUACUAUUUAAAAUGAUUAAAUCUCAGUAACAAGAAAGUAAUAGUCUUCAAUUGUUUGAAGACGAUAACACUUUUUGUUUACUUCAACUAAAUCAAUAUCUAUAAUAAUUAUAUGCCAAACAAACUUUCUUAAAACAUAAAUUGGACCAUGUGCAUUUGCUCACAUAUACAAAAACAUCUAAGAUUUUUGUAGAAGUACAAAAUUUAACAUCUAUAUAUAAAUAUACACCAUAUGAACCCCUUUUACCAACUGUUAUUCCAUCUCUCUCUUCUCCUGCUAGUUAACCUAUUUCAUUCAAACCAAAAAAAAAAACUGAAAAGGAACAAACUUUUCUUCUUCCCUUGUUCUCUCAUCCCAUCUCAACAUGUCCUCCCAUACCAAUCUCCACUCUCCUAAACCGGAUCACGGUAUCUCCGGUACAUCCCAUACCAAAAAACUACCGUCUUCCUCCAGCUCUCAAGACCAACAAACCCUAAAGUGCCCUCGCUGCAACUCCUCAAACACAAAGUUCUGUUACUACAACAACUACAACCUCUCUCAACCUCGUCAUUUCUGCAAAUCUUGCCGCCGUUACUGGACACGUGGCGGUGCCUUAAGAAACGUCCCCAUCGGUGGCGGUUGUCGGAAAACCAAAAAAUCAUUCAAAC
rnacentral:lncRNA from 1 species